rnacentral:rRNA from 1 species
CCUACGGGUGGCAGCAGUGAGGAAUAUUGGUCAAUGGACGAGAGUCUGAACCAGCCAAGUAGCGUGAAGGAUGACUGCCCUAUGGGUUGUAAACUUCUUUUAUAUGGGAAUAAAACGUUCCACGUGUGGGAUUUUGUAUGUACCAUAUGAAUAAGGAUCGGCUAACUCCGUGCCAGCAGCCGCGGUAAUACGGAGGAUCCGAGCGUUAUCCGGAUUUAUUGGGUUUAAAGGGAGCGUAGGUGGAUUGUUAAGUCAGGUGUGAAAGUUUGCGGCUCAACCGUAAAAUUGCAGUUGAACCUGGCAGUCUUGAGUACAGUAGAGGUGGGCGGGAUUCGUGGUGUAGCGGUGAAAUGCUUAGAUAUCACGAAGAAAUCCGAUUGCGAAGGGAGUUCACUGGACUGCAACUGACACUGAGGCUCGAAAGUGUGGGUAUCAAACAGGAUUAGAUACCCCUAGUAGUC